GUUCUCAAUCUGAUGAACAAAAUGAAAUUUUGUUCUGUUGUUUUUAUUUUUUCUCAUGAUUUAAUUUAAUUGUUGUUCUUUUUGUGUUGAUUGUUGACUUUGAUUAAUUGUAAUUAUGAGACGUAAAUUCUUCUGGCCAUCGGGAUUAACCAUUAGGUUCGUUAGAGAAGGUUGUGUGAAUCGUCCUUUCUAUCAUCUUGCUGUUUUACCUUCUAAAAAAAGGGUCGGUCGAGUUCCCGAUGAAGUAAUUGGUUCGUUUGAUUUAUUUCCUAAUGAAACUAAUGAGAGAUUAUUUGCCGUUGAUAUUGAUCGAUUAAAUUAUUGGCUUGGUAAAGGUGCUAAACUAUCACCAGGAUCUGCAGCUUUAUUGGGUUAUGCUGGAAUAAUUGAACCUCACCAUGACUCUCUUUUAAUUGCUUGGAGGAAUAGGAUAGCCAAAGAAAAUGCGGAUGCACCAGAGAUUCAACAAAAGAAAAAGUCUUACAUCGAGGAUAUGGCCGUAAGAGGAAUUCUAACCUAAAGAUGAUACCAAACUCCUGGUAAUCUAAGGACGGACAAAAAUCCCUAUAUAUAUAAAACAUUUAUCAAACCCUAUGUUCAAAAUCAAUAUUGUUAAAGUACUGGUCAACCUAUGAACUUAUGGUCAAUCCCAAUUUAUCCCAUAUAAAUUUGAUACAAAGUUUGUAUUAUCCAAGACAAAAAAACACUUCUAUUGAGAUAAUAGUUUUUCCGUUUAAAAGUAGCCUUAGGAAUGGAAAGAGUUAUCUUGAUAAUGUAUAUUAGAUAAAGAGAUCACUUUUUCUCGCCCCAUGAUAAUUGUAACCACAAAGGAACUCGGAAACCAAACCAAGAAAGGAACCAAGAAAGAGACAAAAGGAUAUAAGUGAAUUCCCAUCAAAAAUUGAUCGCAACUAAAAUGGCAAAACUAUCACUUUGUGACUUGAAUAUUAUCUAAUGGUGAUGAAUAUAAACUACUAUUAACAGUUAUCAAGAUCCAACAACAACAACAACAACAACAAGGAGGGAAAAUACUCACAACCAUCACCAAAGAGUUACCAAAGGAAAAAAAAGAAGGCAAAUGGAAAAAAGAUAAAUGGAAAGUGGUGAAUCCAUUAUAGAAAGAGAUGAACCAUUGGAAAGGAUGAUAAGAAGAAGAAGAAAAAAAAGAAAGCAAUCAAAAUGAUGAGAAGAAGCAAAAAGAAAGAGAAAAAUAAGAGAAAAGGAAAAACUCGAAAGAUGAAGAUGCUAAUGGACUUUGCCUCUUAAAGUGAAUACUCAAUAACAAGGGACAAGGAUAAUUUGAAUGAACAGUUUAUUAAAUAAGUUGGAGAGCAACAUUUUCCCUGGUUAAAAGGAUCGACACCAAAGGAGGAAAAAGAUAACUAUUUAUCUUGAAACCACAUAACACUUAUGCAGAUAUACAUCUUCAUUCACCUUUACUAAAUUAUCGUCAUCACCAUAAUCAUCCAGUUGAUCAUCUCUUUCUCCAUCUCUGUCUAUUUCAUAUGUAAUCAUCUUUAUAUCAUUUCUCUCUGUAUAUAUAGUUUGAUCGUAAGGUGAUUCAUAUUCAUUUAGAUCUUUUUUUUCACUUUACUUCUCAUUUUUCAUAUCUAUCAUCUCUCAUCAUCUUUGUCUUCCUUUCUCUCACUCUCUUUCUCUCUAUUUCAUCAUCAAACUAAUGAUAUAAGUGGAAAUUCAUGUAACCAUAGGAAAAAAAAAGUUAUUAACAUCAAGAGAUUUGAGAAAGGGAAACAAAAAUGAUGAUAAUGAGAAUAAAGAUCAUCUCUCAUCCUGAUUUCCUUUUCCUCUUUAUCCUUUAACCUGAGAAAAAUGUCAAUUCACUUAUGACUCUUUUUUUUAUAUCUUCUAUUUUUCUUUCACUUCAUCAUCAUUUUCUUUCUUUGACCAUGAUGAUGAUGAUUAUGAUGAUAACGCAUAAAAAGCAUUAGAGCCAACAAAUUACCUGAAAAUGAGAAAGAUGAUGAAGAUGAUGAACCAUCAAAAACAGAAAACUAGACUGAACAUUAACCUUCCUCUUUAACAGUAGAUUAUCUUCUUGCUCUUCAUCAUCUUCUCACUUGAUUUAUAUCAAUCUAUUAAUCUCCCAUCCUUCUCACUUUCACCCAUCACCAACUAUCGUUAUGUUUUUUUCUCACUAUAUUUUGAUGUUCGAGAAAAAAAACAAUCUUAUUAAUCAAAACAUAUUCUGAUAUCACUUUUCCUUGACCAUUGGCUAUG